rnacentral:lncRNA from 1 species
AUCGUGCCAUUGCACUCCAGCCUGGGCAACAAGAGUGAAACUGCGUCUCAAAAAAAAAAAAAAAAGUUUGUUGUCCUGGCAGCUGGUGAGAGCAUACCUGUAUUUUAUAAUUUUUCACUUGACCACCUUCUCUGGUUCAAGUCAUCAUUUUGUACAAUUUUAGCAAACUUAGCAAAGUCUGGUGCUGCAACCAGAGUCUGCCCUGUGCUUUUGGAAAUAAUGGAAAAAAUAAGCAGUUGUGGCAGAAAUUUGAAAAGUAAGGGUUUUUUGUUCCUUUUUUUUCUUCUUUUUUUUUCGUUUCUUCGAGCCUCUGGGCACUUUGAAAUAUUCUCAAAAUAGGGAAAAAUUGUAUACAUAUUUGGAAUAUUCAUGUUUUUAGUUAGACCCUCCUUUAUAGCACCAUCCAUUCUGCCUUACGUAUUUGGCAUUGAUGUAGUUUUAAAAAUAAAUUUGAUGUUGACUUGUAAGUAUUAAAAUUUAAUCUACUUCCUUCCGGGGCCAUAAUUCUCUACUUUGUUGUCCUUGGUUACCUUGGCAAUCCCAUUGCUGUCAUAAGCACAGGGUUCUAACUGCAGGGGUGGGGUGAGCAUCUGGGCCUGCAGGCUCCCAGGGGCCCUGCCGUCCAUGGGACCAGACCCCUCCUAGCAGCAACAGUGGGAACCAGGGCUACGUGCUUUUUGGCAAGAAUGUGAUUCUGAAUGUUAGCCCUUUGUGACUUGUUUGAAAAACAGUUCCUCCAAGUCCCCAGAACAGAUUAUUGCUGUCUUCAGAAGGACAUCACCUUCUUGCCCAGAGCAUUCAUGUUUUUGGAAGCUCAAGAGUAGAAGUACUGAUGCCACUCCUCACGGGUUCCAGGUCCUGCCAUGCACUCAGGAUUCCUGAGUCCUUCAGUGUGCUGGGCUGUGUGUGAGGUGGCAGGAAUAGAACACCAAGAAGAAUAUGUCCUCUCUUUGGAGGGACCUACAGUCCAGCAAGAGGAACAGAAUCCUGUAAACAAAUCAGUGCAGUAAAAUCUGAGGACCACAUCUGUAGGAAUGCUUGGAGUCCUGUGGAUGUGCAAGGGUGCAGGUGGUCCCAGGGCGUGGGGCUGUGGUGAGGGAGGGCCUUAUAUGAUGUCGUACCGUUGAGUCUUGAAGUCCAGGCAGUUACCUGUGGGUUACCAAAUGCUAAGGCACUAAGCUGGUUCAUUCUGGUCUUCUGUACCUGCCUCCCUGCCUUAGGUAAAUAUUGAUCUACUCCUGAGGUGGUGGCCAGCUCGGCGUCUGCGGUAGGAUUUUCACAGUCACCUGGUCUCUAGAGGGCUGCUCAGACCAAGAAUUUGGGGUGAUCCUCAAUUCUUCCCAUGCACCCCACGUUUCCAGGCACCGGUGCCUUCCUUUGUGGAGCAUAUACAUGCAUUCCAGGCCCGCACUGUCUGAUGAGGCAGCCUAAGACAAAUCCAGCUCUCAGCCGCCACAUUGCAAGUACUCAGUAGCCACACGUGGCUGGUGGCUACCAUAUUGGCUCAGCAACCACCGGGAGAGCCAUCACCUGGAAACUUGCUGAAAUGCAGAGCCCCGGGUUCCACCCAGGACAAUUUUUACAGCAUCUCCACGUACACCACAGGCACGUGAGAGCUUGCGAAGCACUGUUCGAGACGGAACCCCGGCUGCACACUGGAGUUGCUUGGGCGUUUGUGAAGCAGAGCUGCCUGGCUCCACUCCCUAAAAUUCUGACUUAAAUUAGUCUGGGUGGGGCUUCGAGCCUUGGCAUUUUUUAAAGCCUCCUCCCAAAUAGGGUUGAUAAUCACUGAUAAACAGACAGUUACGUAACAACCUUAGGCAGUUGAUACGUGCUGUAAAGGAAAGUCAUGCAUAACAUGGGGAUAGAAAGUGGUUCUGGAGAUCAGGAAACCGAAAUCAGGAAAAGCCUCUCUGCAGAGGUGACAUUUGAGCAGGCUGGAAUGCAGAGAGGAAGCCAGCCACAGAAGAUGUGGGAAUAGAACAGCUUGGGAAAAGGCCCUGAAAUGCCAAUGGGCGGGAUCAUGGAAGGACUGAAGGAAGGUCAGGGUGUGUGGGGAGGAGUGGGCGAGGAAGAGAAGGAUGAGAGACGGGCAGAGGGGUGGGCAGUGCCAGGUCACAGAGGGCCUUGUCCAUCUUGGGGAAGGAAUUUGGAUUUUGUUCUAGUGUGAUGGGAAGCUGUUGAAGGGUUUUGAGCAGGGAAUAACAUGGUCCGAUAUCCAUUUUAAAGACUUCACUGUGGUUCUAGGGAAAACAGACUAGCAGGGCAUGAAAGGAAAGAGGGAGACCAGUUGUGGGGUGAGGGGCUAUUGCAGUCAUCUAGGCAAGAGGUCUUGGAUGAGGAGGUAGCAGGGGGGGUGGUGGUAAGUGGCCUGAUUGAGGUCCAUUGUACAAGAAGAGGGGUCCAAACCUACUGAUGGAUUGUCAUUAUUGUGUGCUAGUGGCAUAGAGGUAGACCCAAUAGAACUCCUGCCCCAAACAGGGCAACAGCCAAGCUCAGUUCAUCCAAGCCCCCUGAACAGACCUUCCAGCAUCCCCAUGGUGAAGCUGUUGCUGUCUAGAGCUACUUAGUGUCAGAAUCCAGGCCAGCUCUGUGCUGCUUGAUGUGACUGGUUAUAGGACUUGUGUUGGGACCAGUUCCAGGGUCAAUCAAGGAAAGAUUGAAGCAUAGCUGCAUAGACUGGGGCCCAGGGAAAGAGAGAAGCAUGGCUGCAUAGACUGAGACUGAGGGAUCUGCUCAUGCGACCCUCUGCUGUUUCUAUGCAGACUACAGCAGGUGAUACUUAUGGGCAUUGUCAGAUGCCUGGGAUGCUAUCCCCAUUUCAGCUCCCCAAACACUCCUCUUUCUUUCCCUACUAAAGAGAGGUGACGUUCCGUGAUAUGAACCUACCUCCUUUGCUUACGCCUUUUCUGUGUAAUGUGGCCUCCAAGUGGAUUGCUAGGGCCCUUCCAGGUACUUUUUUUCUUUUCUUUUUCUUUUUUAUUUUGUUUGAGGUGGAGUCUUGCUCGGUUACCCAGGCUGGAGUGCAGUGGUGCGAUCUCGGUUCACUGCAACCUCUGCCUCUCGAGUUCAAGGGGGAUUCUCCUGCCUCAGCCUCCUGAGCAGCUGGGAUUACAGGUGACUGCCACCAUGCCCGGCUGAUUUUUGUAUUACUAGUAGAGAUGGGGUUUCACCAUGUUGGCCAGGCUGGUCUUGAACUCCUGACCUCAGGUGAUCCGCCCACCUCGGCCUCACAAAGUGCUGGGAUUAUAGGCGUGAGCCGCUGCGCCCGGCUGCCUUUCCAGGUGCUUUUAUACCAUUAUCGUUUUUAUCAUGUCAACAAUGUCUUGGAAUAAACAGACUACCAACCCGAGCUGGAAUACUUGGGCUGUAUUUUUAUGAUGAUGGUCAUUUCUAUGAAGGGAUUUGACUGAUUUAGUUUCUUCACUCAUAAAUGUAUAUUGGGCCCCUACCGUAUGUUGUCACUGCCAGGUGCCAGGGAUGUAAAAGUGGACAGGAUGGCCUGGACGUCUAAAAAAAAAAAAAAAAAAAAA